rnacentral:rRNA from 1 species
CCAACACUGGGACUGAGAACUGCCCAGACUCCUACGGGAGGCUGCAGUCGAGAAUCAUUCGCAAUGGGCGAAAGCCUGACGAUGCGACGCCGUGUGAGCGAAGAAGGCCUUAGGGUCGUAAAGCUCUUCGCUGGGAACAAGAGAAGCUGACUAAUACUCAGUGGAUUUGAGCGUACCAGGUAAAGAAGCACCGGCUAACUCC